GAUGAACGCUGGCGGCGUGCCUAAUACAUGCAAGUCGAGCGAACAGACGAGGAGCUUGCUCCUCUGACGUUAGCGGCGGACGGGUGAGUAACACGUGGAUAACCUCCCUAUAAGACUGGGAUAACUUCGGGAAACCGGAGCUAAUACCGGAUAAUAUAUUGAACCGCAUGGUUCAAUAGUUAAAGACGGUUUUGCUGUCAUUCAUAGAUGGAUCCGCGCCGCAUUAGCUAGUUGGUAAGGUAACGGCUUACCAAGGCAACGAUGCGUAGCCGACCUGUGAGGGUGGUCGGCGACACUGGAAAUGAGACACGGUCCAAGCACCUACGAGAGACGGCAGUGGGGAAUCUGUCGCAAUGGGGGAAGGCCUGGCGGAGAAACAGCGCGUGAGUGAUGAAGGUCUUCGGGUCGUAAGAGACUGUUAUUAGGGAAGAACGAAUGUGUAAGUAGCUGGGCACGUCUUGGCGGUACCUGGUGAGAAAGCCACGGCUAACUACGGG
rnacentral:rRNA from 1 species